rnacentral:rRNA from 1 species
UACGUAGGAGACGAGCGUUGUCCGGAGUUACUGGGCGUAAAGGGCGCGUAGGCGGCAAUUCAAGUCAUCUGUGAAAUCUCCGGGCUUAACCCGGAACGGUCAGGUGAUACUGUUUUGCUAGAGUGCGGAAGGGGCAAUCGGAAUUCUCGGUGUAGCGGUGAAAUGCGUAGAUAUCGAGAGGAACACCAGAGGUGAAGACGGGUUGCUGGGCCGACACUGACGCUGACAGCGCGAAAGCCAGGGGAGCAAACGGG